rnacentral:rRNA from 1 species
AAGAACGCAGCGAAAUGCGAUAAGUAAUGUGAAUUGCAGAAUUCAGUGAAUCAUCGAAUCUUUGAACGCACCUUGCGCCUCUUGGUAUUCCGAGAGGCAUGCCUGUUUGAGUGUCAUUAA